rnacentral:rRNA from 1 species
UCAAGCAACUAAGCGCAUACGGUGGAUGCCUUGGCAGUCAGAGGCGAUGAAAGACGUGGAAGCCUGCGAUAAGGUUCGGGGAGCUGGCAAACAAGCUGUGAUCCGGGCAUUUCUGAAUGGGGAAACCCACCGACUUUCGGGUCGGUAUCUUACACUGAAUCCAUAGGUGUAAGAGGCGAACCGGGGGAACUGAAACAUCUAAGUACCCCGAGGAAAAGAAAUCAACCGAGAUUCCCUAAGUAGCGGCGAGCGAACGGGGAUUAGCCCUUAAGCUAGACAACUGGUAGGAGAAGGCUCUGGAAAGUGCCGCCAUAGUGGGUGAUAGCCCCGUAUCCGAAACCUGAGUCUGGUGAAAUCGAGUAGGACGGGACACGUGAUAUCCUGUCUGAACAUGGGGGGACCAUCCUCCAAGGCUAAAUACUCCUGACUGACCGAUAGUGAACCAGUACCGUGAGGGAAAGGCGAAAAGAACCCCUGUGAGGGGAGUGAAAUAGAUCCUGAAACCGUAUGCGUACAAGCAGUCGGAGCGGACUUGUUCCGUGACGGCGUACCUUUUGUAUAAUGGGUCAGCGACUUAUGUUCAGUGGCGAGGUUAACCGUUUAGGGGAGCCGUAGGGAAACCGAGUCUGAAUAGGGCGAUUUAGUCGCUGGGCAUAGACCCGAAACCGGGCGAUCUAUCCAUGAGCAGGUUGAAGGUGCCGUAACAGGCACUGGAGGACCGAACCCACUGUCGUUGAAAAGCCAGGGGAUGACUUGUGGAUCGGAGUGAAAGGCUAAUCAAGCCCGGAGAUAGCUGGUUCUCCUCGAAAUCUAUUUAGGUAGAGCCUCUCGUAUUACCACCGGGGGUAGAGCACUGUUUGGGCUAGGGGGUCAUCCCGACUUACCAACCCGAUGCAAACUCCGAAUACCUGUGAGUACUAUCCGGGAGACACACGGCGGGUGCUAACGUCCGUCGUGAAGAGGGAAACAACCCAGACCGCCAGCUAAGGUCCCCAAGUACCAGUUAAGUGGGAAACGAUGUGGGAAGGCUCAGACAGCUAGGAGGUUGGCUUAGAAGCAGCCACCCUUUAAAGAAAGCGUAAUAGCUCACUGGUCGAGUCGGCCUGCGCGGAAGAUGUAACGGGGCUAAACUGGUAACCGAAGCUGUGGAUGCGUGUUUACACGCAUGGUAGAGGAGCGUUCUGUACGCUGUUGAAGGUGAAUCGAGAGGUUUGCUGGAGGUAUCAGAAGUGCGAAUGCUGACAUGAG